rnacentral:rRNA from 1 species
AGCGCAGGUGGUUUAUUAAGUCUGGUGUAAAAGGCAGUGGCUCAACCAUUGUAUGCAUUGGAAACUGGUAGACUUGAGUGCAGGAGAGGAGAGUGGAAUUCCAUGUGUAGCGGUGAAAUGCGUAGAUAUAUGGAGGAACACCGGUGGCGAAAGCGGCUCUCUGGCCUGUAACUGACACUGAGGCUCGAAAGGCGUGGGAGCGAACA